rnacentral:rRNA from 1 species
AGAGUUUGAUCAUGGCUCAGGACGAACGCUGGCGGCGUGCUUAACACAUGCAAGUCGAGCGGGGCCUUUCGGGGUUCAGCGGCGAACGGGUGAGUAACACGUGGGUAACCUGCCCUCAGCUCUGGGAUAAGCCGGGGAAACUCGGUCUAAUACCGGAUAUGACAUCUGCCUGCAUGGGUGGGUGUGGAAAGAUUUAUUGGCUGGGGAUGGGCCCGCGGCCUAUCAGCUUGUUGGUGGGGUGAUGGCCUACCAAGGCGACGACGGGUAGCCGGCCUGAGAGGGCGAUCGGCCACACUGGGACUGAGACACGGCCCAGACUCCUACGGGAGGCAGCAGUGGGGAAUAUUGCGCAAUGGGCGGAAGCCUGACGCAGCGACGCCGCGUGGGGGAUGACGGCCUUCGGGUUGUAAACCUCUUUCAGCUCCGACGAAGCGCAAGUGACGGUAGGGGCAGAAGAAGCACCGGCCAACUACGUGCCAGCAGCCGCGGUAAGACGUAGGGCGCGAGCGUUGUCCGGAUUUAUUGGGCGUAAAGAGCUCGUAGGCGGCUUGUCGCGUCGACUGUGAAAACCCGCGGCUCAACUGCGGGCCUGCAGCCGAUACGGGCAGGCUAGAGUUCGGUAGGGGAGACUGGAAUUCCUGGUGUAGCGGUGAAAUGCGCAGAUAUCAGGAGGAACACCGGUGGCGAAGGCGGGUCUCUGGGCCGAUACUGACGCUGAGGAGCGAAAGCGUGGGGAGCGAACAGGAUUAGAUACCCUAGUAGUCC